GACGAACGCUGGCGGCGUGCUUAACACAUGCAAGUCGAACGAAGUGGCGAACGGGUGAGUAACGCGUAAUCAACCUGCCCUUCAGAGGGGGACAACAGUUGGAAACGACUGCUAAUACCGCAUACUGAAGGAGUGGCUUGCGUCUGAUUAGCUAGUUGGAGGGGUAACGGCCAACCAAGGCGAUGAUCAGUAGCCGGUCUGAGAGGCGGAACUGCCACAUGGGGACUGAGACAAGGCCCAGAAUACUGCGGGAGGGAGCAGUGGGGAAUCUUCCGCAAUGGACGAAAGGCUGACGGAGCAACGCCGCGUGAGUGAUUACGGCCUUCGGGUUGUAAAGCUCUGUUAAGCGGGACGCGGUACCGGAAGAGAAAGCCACGGCUAACUACGUGCCAGCAGCCGCGGUAAUAC
rnacentral:rRNA from 1 species